CUUCUGCUCCUUGUCUCCCGGAGGCUCCCUGCCCUCAGCAAUAGAAGAAUAAAAGUUGUUGAGAAGUCACUCUGGCAAUCCCCUGCCCACCAAGAACAGGCGCUAUCAAGAGUGGAUAUUGCAGAAACGCUUCCUCUCCCUACAAACCUUCCAGGUGCCCUGGUCUUUGCCAGAACCAAACAGUGGUCACAGCUAGGACCUGCACCGGGGGUCCUGAAUCCACCUUGCCCGGUGCCCAGAUGCCCCUCCUGCUCUCUGGAUGGAGCCCACCCUCAACAAGCACUCCGGCAGGACCAGGUUCCAUGAAGACAAUGCCACUUGGAAUCUGAUAAGUAAUAUUUGGUACCAAGCCCAGAUCAGCUUUUCAUCACCCUAGACAAGAGAUGUGUUUGGGACUCUUCAGUCUCCCCUGAAGCCCUCAGGCAGGUCUCUGUCAUGCUGGGUGGGAUUAUGGUAACACUCUACCAGCAGCUCCCCACCUGCACCUCAGGCCAGGUUGGAGAGGGUGAAAAAGCAACAUAAAAAUGUCAGGUUCCUAUUGGGGAUUAGGAGACAGUCAACUCUAGCCAAGUUUUAUUUUUCCAUUCUAAAGGAAGAAGAAGAAAAAAACACAACCUAAAUUAUCCCAUUUUCCUUAACACACCAUAGAUGCGUGAAUUAGAAGAAAAAAUUUGUUAAACACCCAAACAAAAAGAAACAAUCUGGCCACCAGCCAGGAUUACUUUGCCUGGAGCGUUUUCCAUGACUCUAAGGCCAGCACACAAAAGGGUUUCUAAGAUCCAUUUCUGGUGAGAAUAAAAGCUGAAUCUGAAAAACAGAUGCCCCCUGAAAGUAAGAAACAGAAGAAAAUGCAAUCUGUCAACUAGCCACAAUUUAUUCUAUCAACUAUCAAAAAUUUAGUCUGACAUAUUUGCUGGGUAAAAUAACCAUGUUGACUGAUUGUUCUCCUGAAAAAGACAGUUUGAAUUCACCCAACUCCAGCUGAGACUCAAAUAGUCAUUUUCAACUAUUUCCAAAUAUUAAUAUUUUCUGCAAAGAGAACCUUUUAUAAAAUCUCAAUUUGUAAAACUGGCUAGAAACCCAGUUGCUCUGGUUGAAACUGGGGGUGGGUGCUCCAUGUGAUACAUUAAAUAUAUUACACCCCCUGAAACCCUCCCCUCAAUCCAGGAGCCUCUCUCUCUCUCUCUCUCCUGCUCUCUCUCUGUCACUCAGGCCGGAGUGCAGUGGAGCGAUCACAGCUCACUGCACCCUCAACCUCCAGGGCUCAGGUGAUCCUCCCACCUCAGUCUCCUGAGUAGCUGGGACCACAGGUACACGCCACCAUGUCUGGCUAAUUUUUUGAUUUCUUGUAAAGACAGUCUCACUAUGUUGCCCAGGCUGGUCUCCAACUCCUGGAGUUAAGCAAUCCUCCCACCUCAGCUUCCCAAAGUGCUAAGAUUGCAGGUGUGAGCCACCACACCGGCCUGAACAAAAUUCACAUAUUUUAAGAAUCUUUGAUGUAGACGGGGGACAGUUCUGCUAAUUUAAAAACAUCUAGAGUUUUGCAUUGUCACAAUAACUCAUGGUGGGUGUCAUUUCUAGAAUUUAGUGUAAGGGUUCAGGGAUGGUAAUGUAUGACACACAAUCCUGUCCAAAUGGCCAAGUAGCCCCCAGGAGAAAAAAACAAAAUAAAACUGGACAGAAGGCUUUAGCUGUCUUUACGAGGCGGGAGCUAAGGGUCACCCCCAAUGUGGCCCGCUACAGCCCCAGCCCCCUAUCUCUGUCUUGCAUGGUGCUUGCUUCUCUUCCUCUAGAGCCCAAAUAUACCAAAUGCUUCUUGCUCAGCCUCCUUUGCAUCCAGAAGCAGCCAUGGGACCCAAACCUGACCAAUGCAACGAGAGAGUCAAUAUUCUGAGGUGGGAAGAGUUCAAGGAAAAAUUUUGUUUCGUAAUGCAACGGAGGCACAAGAAGAAACUCUCCUUCCUGCCUUUGAAAAUAAUUGGUUGAGAACAACAUGCUGGAACCGAAGCAGCCUUUCUGUGAGCAUGAGGAGCCAUGCUUAAGAACAAGUCAAUCUGCUAAGGAAGGCAGAGCAGAGAGACAGAUAUGGUUGAGCUGCAUUCUUCAUCCCCUCUGUUAUAGGGGACAAUCUAUAUGAUUCUUCAAGUCUGUUAAUCAAGUCUUUGGUUGCUGACAGCCACACGCAUUUUAAUAGAUAUACUUUUCUCACUUCCAUUCAUCUGGAAGCAGAAAGAACAGCUCUGAGGGAAUCUUCUUUGCAGACGCUGACACUUCGAUUCUCACUGUGGUUUUUCUUGUUGACUUAGGGCCACAUAAAUCUUUCCCUCCUUCUUGGUACUUGAUCUUCUGCCUCUGCCGCAGGCUUGUUAUCUGUUUUCUGUAAGUAACGCAGGAGCUUCUGGUUAUAAACGACUUGCUAAACUUGAAUUCUUAAGAGUCGUUUAUCUGUUAGACCCACCCUAACCCAAUCAAUACUCAGUGAUAGGAGGUGUCAUCAAUGAUUGACUUUAAGAUAAAGCAGUUCUUCCCCUGCCCCUGCUAAUUUUUGUAUUUUUUUGGUAGAGACGGGGUUUUGCCAUGUUGGCCAGGCUGGUCUCAAACUCCUGAGCUCAGGUGAUCUGCCCGCCUCUGCCUCCCAACGUGCUGGGAUUACAGGUGUGAGCCACUGCGCCCGGCUUCGAAUCCAUUUUCCAAACACAUGUAGGUGAGUAUGGAAAUAGAUGAAAGGAUAUGGGUCACUUUACAAGAUAACAGCCUGGAAGAGGUCAUUGUGGGUUACAUGCAUUUGAAUUCGCUGCAAUAUAAGCUAAGAAAACAAUAAACUUUUCUCACAUAGGAGACUGGGUAUUACGAAGAGCUGUUCUUUAGUCCUUGCACCUUUAUCACUUUAUUUUAGAAACAAAACUCCCAUCUUCACCAUUUUCAUUUGAAAAAUCUCCCCUCUAUAUUUCAAUCUAUAUGAGCUGCAGUCAGAACUCUAGCCCAAGACCCAGAGCUAAACCAGUCAGCAUGUAGUUUUUCCAGAGCUAAACCAAUCAGCAUGUAGCUUUUCCAGAGGUAAGCCCAAUCAGCAUGUAGCUUUUCCAGAGCUAAGCUAAUCAGCAUGCAGCUUUUCCAGAGCUAAGCCAAUCAGUAUGUAGCUUUUCUAGAGCUAAGCUAAUCACCACGUGGUGUGCUCUGGCAACAGCAAUUUAUCAGGGGUGAGUGAGCACAUGACCUAAUGGUGACCCAAUCAGAAUGAGUCUCCGGACUUCCCUGGAAACUUGUGGCCCUUUUCUGCAGGAUUGAAACUUGGAUGAUGAGGCUGUGCCAUAACUUGCUACUAGAGCUGCAGAAUGAAGCUAACACAGCUGAGGGUAGAGUCAAGGCAUCAGGGAAACUGAGUCAAGUUGAAUUGAGUCCAGAAUCUACUGUCCCUGAAACCAGUACAAUACUUAGAUAUUUUGUUAUUUUGUUUUGGGAGAAAACAAAUUCCCUUCUUACUGAAACAAGUCUGGUCUGCAUUUUCUGUUGCUGGCUACCGAAGGAAGGGGUCCUAACUAAUAUCCUGGGGUAGAACAGUGCCCAGUUAUAGAGGCCCCAGUUUCCCCAUUACUCAUGAAGAGACAGUUGCUCUAAGGAGCUUCAGCAUCUACUGCCAGCAUCACCGUUCUGGUGCUCUGGUUCUGGGCGAUUCUUCCAUAACUUGUCUGAGCAUGUGAACUUUGGAACAGACUGCCUGAGUUCAAGUCUCAGCAUCACCACCACUAACUUUAUCAAGCCCUCCAUGUCUCAGUUGUCUUACUGUAAAAUGGAAAUGACUUUCAUAAACAUUAAAAUUGCUGUGAAAUGUGAAUGUGUUAAUAUGCAGACAGUGAUUAGCAUAGUGCCUGGCACAUAGCAAGCCCAUCAUCCAUGGCUGCCCUCAUUGUUGUUAUGUUCUUCUUUAUAUUGAGGAUCCAUCCAGAACCUCCCUUCAUUCUGCUGGUUGCCUCCAUUCUCUUGUGCCUCACUUGGCCAGUUCUCCAUCUUAGGAGCUUUGAAUUCCUUUCCUCAGUUCAAACGUUCCUGGUUUGUGUCCCAACCCUAAUAGGACUUCUCUUUCCAAGGUCACAGGUACCUAAUCUGAGAUGUCAACCCAGGUAGUAAGUUAGUGGUUUCAUCUUUAGACAGGGAUAGUGAAACUUUGCUUCUGUGCAUCUCAUUCUUGUUUAUAAAUCUCUUUAAAGAAUACGAACUUUGUAGUAUAUUUAUUUUUGGCUACCCAGAAUCUAUUGUACCAUCUUUGGGUAACUGAAUUCCAGUUUCCCCUGGGUAACCACCCUCCAAUGGCUGGACCAACCCUCUGUGUCAGGUGGACUAAAACCAUCAGGCUCUUUUUUUCCACAGCUCUGACUGGUCCAGGGAUGAGUAUGUGACACUUAAGUCCAACGAGAUGCAAUGAGACUUUUGUUGUGGCUUCUGGGAGUGCCAGAGGCUCUUUUCUACCAGGCUUAGUCAGCCUUGCAGCCACAGCAGGAGAUGCUAAGAACCGCCCUGAGAGGGAAAAAGAGGAGCAGAGGGAUCAAGAGACACUCAUCAGGAACUGCUGACAUUUGAGCCUCUGGAUCUGGCUGUGCCUGAAACUAACAAGCUACUCCUUCCACAUUCUAGUUAUCUGAUAUUAUAAAUUUAUUUCAUUUAAAGCUAUUUAACUUAGGUUUUGUUGUUGUUGCAUGCAACCAAGAGUGCUGACUGAUACAAUCUUCCAAUUAUAUGCUGUUUUUACUUUAAAAGGGGUGUUUGGUGUCUCAGCCUGAAAGGAGCAGUAAUGGUAGGAUUGAGGGCACAUAGCAAUCCAGGAAGAAGGCAAUGGUACAUAGACCCCUGAAAUCAUACCAGAUGGCCAGUUACUACUCAGUCUCUAGAUUCAGCUGGUUCUGCAAGAAGAGUUAUCAAGCUAUCAGCUUUCUCUUGCAGGCAUCCUUCUGUACCUUUAAGACAGAGCAUCUAAUUAGCUUUGGGUGGUUUCAGUUAGGCGUAUAGUGGAGAAAUUAAGAAAACAUUAAAACCAGGACCAUUGGAACAUGAGGAUGUGCGGCUUAAGAUUUACCCAAGAGGGGCUGACCUCAAUUAGGACGUUGAUGCUGGAUUGGGUGCUCUGGUUUUCCUCUACUUUAAAAACUGUUGGAUCCCUGAUAUGCCAAGACCCCAGAGAGAUGGAGAAACGUUUACGUGCAUGGAGGAAAAAAUAUCUUUUUAGAGUUACAAAGUGAGAAUCACAGUUAUUCUACCACUAUUAAGCCAGAAAAUCAUUGUCUAAAAUGGAUAUUUUUUUCUUUUUUAAUGUGUAAAUGAGCUUCUUGGUUGGUUUAAAGGGGCAAAGAUUCCCAUCAGCCUUCAGAGCUGGUCACUCAUCAGUGGAUUGGUAAAUGCAGAAUGGGGUUCGAGUCUGUAUCUUCUUUAGUGGAACAGUGGGUAAUGUCGUUUUGACUCACGAAUCAGUUUCCUUCACUCUUCUGGGCUAAUGACCCACUUCCUCCGGCUUCCCUUAGCUGCACCUGGUGUUUCUGUGGGAAAGGCCUUCACACUGACAUUCUUAUUUGAUAGUGAAUGUUGAUGGACACCAGGCCUGCUUAUGCACAAGAGCUUCUGACCUGGGAUCAGAGAAGGAAACGGAAUUUUAAAGAAAUGUCUCAAGAGUCAGAGAAGGCAGGAGCCGAGAAGUGAUCACUACUGACCUCAAGCUCAAAGACCUAUGGGAAGUAGCAAAAUUCAACAGGAUGAGUGGUGAAUCCCUGGGUCCUUGGUCAAAGGUCCUGAGGUCCUGAGGUCAAAUCAGAAGAGAAAAUGCAAAUUUGUCCAUGUAAGAAAUUUAUUCCAAAAAGUCAGAUACAAAAAUUUGACUUGACAAAGCAUGGUGGGUUUUGUAAAAAAAAAUAAAUGGUUAUAAAGAGGAGCUGAAUGUGGAAUAACUUUGCAUUUCACAGAGUUAACAUUUGAAGUUUCAGCUGUUUGCAAAUGACUCAUGGUGCUACUCAGCGUGGGUGAGGUUGUGCUGCAGUAACAAAUAAGACCAAAUAUAUCAGUGGUUUAAAUAAGAAGGCUGCAUUGCCACCACAGGGUCAGCUGAGACUUCUGUACAUUGGGGCCCACCUCACAGCACCUCCCUCUUGGCACAUCCUUCUACAAUCACUGUGGCAGGAGGAAGAUAACAUGGCUUCAUAAAGAUUGGCUUUUAAAAUAUUUGCCCAAGAGCAACACUACCAUUUUAUCCCACAUGUCCUAGGCAAAGUCAGUCAUAUGGCUGCACCUGCCUUCCAAGAUUGUGGGAAAGUGCUUGGAGGGACGGGGGAAUAUUUAGUGAGCAGUAGUCAUGACCACCAUACUCCAUGGUAUGCAGAAAUGUGGAGCAGGGCUGGUGGGUGGACCCACUCCACUUGGCUGCUGAGCAGGGCUGGCCCACUACUCAGAAUGUGGGUGCCAGGGAAGCCUGGGCUUCUCUCUCAUCUGCUUUGUAUAUUUCUCAUGAUUUGAUUCAAAUGCAGAUUCUUUGUGAAAAAUUAGCCCUGAUGAGAAAGCCAGUUCCUGAUCAUGGAAGUAAAGGGCAAAGGAAAAAAAUUAGAGGGUAAAAUACAAAGGACAAAAAUGACAAGGUUGUGUAAAUGACAAGAGUACUGUAAAUAUUGAUACUUUGCAAUAAAACUGUGCAUCGUCCUUUUGAGAGAUGACAACAUGCUAGCAGCCCUCACUCGCUCUCCAUGCCUACUUGGCCUCAGCGUCCAGUCUGGCCACACUUAAGGAGGCCUUCAGCCCACCGCUGCACUGUGGGAGCCCCGCUCUGGGCUGGCCAAGGCCGGAGUUGGCUCCCUCUGCUUGCGGGGAGGUGUGGAGGGAGAGGCGCAGGUGGGAACCAGGGCUGUGUGGGGCGCUUGUGGGCAAGCGUGAGUUCCGGGUGGGAGCGGGCUCGGCAAACCCAUUCCAGGGUGCCCUGCCCUUCACAAAGAAAACUCUCCCUGGGGCUCCCAUGGGCUUCUCUGGGAUCAGUCACGGGCUCCGUGGGCCCUACACUAGGAGUGGCCAGCCAGAGCCGCAGGCCCUGGGCAGUGAAGGGAUUAGCACCCAGGCCAGCAGCUGUGGAGGGUGCACCGGGUCCCCCAGCACUGCUGCCUGGCCCACGCUGCUCUUGAAUUCUUGCUGGGCCUCAGCCACCUCCCCGUGGGGCAGGGCUCGGGACUUGCAGCCCGCUGUGCUCAAGAGCCAGCCCCCCGGCAUGGGCUUCUGAAGGAGGCCACCCCCGGCUCCACGGCGCUGGGUCCCAUCAACCUAGGGCUGAGGAGUGCGGGCAUGCCGCUGCGGGACUGGUGGGCAGCUCUGCCCUCGUCCCUGGCUUGGGAUCCACUAGGCGAAGCCAGCUGGGCUCCUGAGUCAGGUGGGGAGUUGGAGAACGUUUAUGUCUAGCUGGAGUAUUGUAAAUGCACCAAUCAGCACUUUGUGUCUAGCUCAAGGUUUGUAAAUGCACCAAUCAGCACUCUGUGUCUAGCUCAAGGUUUGUAAAUACACCAAUCAGCACCCUAUGUCUACCUCAAGGUUUAUACAUGCACCAAUCAGUGCUCUGUGUCUAGCUAAUCUAGUGGGGACUUGGAGAACUUUUGUGUCUAGCUAAAGGAUUGUAAACGGACCAAUAAGCUCUCUGUAAAAUGGACCAAUCAGCUCUCUGUAAAAUGGACCAAUCAGCUCUCUGUAAAAUGAACCAAUCAGCAGGAUGUGGGUGGGGUCAGAUAAGGGAAUAAAAGCAGGCUGCCAGCGCCAGCAGUGGCAACCAGCUGGCGUUCCCUUUGGAGCUGUGGAAGCUUUGUUCUUUCGCUCUUUGCAAUAAAGCUUGCUGCUGCUCACUCUUUGGGUGGGUGUGCCUUAAUGAGCUGUAACACUCAUGGCGAAGGUCUGCAGCUUUACUCCUGAGGCCAGCGAGACCACAAACCCACCGGGAGGGACGAACAACUCUGGACGCACCACCUUUAUGAGCUGUGACACUCACUGCGAAGGUCUGCAGCUUCACUCAUGAGGACAGUGAGACCACGAACCCACCAGAAGGAAUGAACAGCUCCAGACGCACCACCAUUAGAACUGUAACACUCAUCUUAAGGGUCCACGGCUAUUCUUGAAGUCAGCAAGACCAAGAACACACCCAUUCUGGACACACUUUCAAAUGCAUCCAAUGGAAGCUAAAUAUCAUAGUUGAUUAAUAUGCAUGAUCUUUAAAAUAUAUUAACAAGCUUUUCUUAAUAGUUAGAAAUGCGUAUCAUUUCCUUUCCUCCUUCUACUUCCUCCGGAUAAUUUUAUCUUAUUUCAAUUUAUUUUGAUGCUAUCAAUUGCUUUACUUUUAAAUAUACUAUGUUUACAAUUUAAUCAGAA